UGUAAAAUACUUAGUAAAUGCUCAAUAACUGGUAGCUACUUGUUAUUAUUACUGUUGUUGCUGUUGACUUCUGACUUUCCCACUAGAUGGUAGGUGCUGCGAGGGCAGGGCCUGCUCUUUUGCUCCCAUCUUCCUCCUGGAGGUCAUUGGAAAUAUUUGGAGUCUAACUACACACUACUGCUGCAUCCUGGGUGGGUGCCCUUGGGCGAGCCCAGCCCCCUCUCAGAGCCUCUAUUUUCUCCUGUAAAAUGGGGCUCAUGGCAAUGCCUACCUGACAAGGUAGUUUCUUGCCAGGCAUAUGGUAGAUGGCUUCAAAGGAGAAGGAGCUCUAGAGCAGGUCAGGUGGGGCCCCAAGGGGGCAACAUUUUCCUAGCAGUUCUGUGGCUCAUUCAGUCCAGGGAACUUCCAGAGACGGGGCGGGGAAGGUUGUCACUUCUGGCUGAGCUGCUUUGGAAAGGGGACAUGGUGGCAGUGAGAAGAGAGAGGAAGGGGGAUUCUGGCUCUGCUGACCCCCCUGAGGGCAGGUUUCAGCAGCAGGGAUAACCAAGCCCCUUGCUGCAGAGUGGGGACACUCAGGCCACAGUGAGUGGGAGGCUGACGUCCCAGGUGGCUGACCUGCCUCUGAUGCCCAUGUGCUGUGUGGCUCUGGGUACCUGGUGCACCUUCUCUGUGCCCCGAUUUCCUUUGCUGUGAUUGUCUUAGGGAGGCCUCGCUUCCUUGUCUGUUGGAUUUCCCGGCCCCCGCAGACCCACUGGCCCGGCCCCCUUGCCCUCAUGGAGGCUGAGACCAGGGCUCAGGGCCAGGGCUGCGCACCUUGACAACCCGCCCACGCCAGGCACAAAGGCCCAUUGUUUGGGCCCAUGUUGGCGGGGAAGCGGGCGGGGAGCAGCCGCCUUUCACCCAACCCGCUUGUGGUUGGCAGGGACUGAGGAGCGAUUCACAGUGGUCCCCACGCCCUGACCGGGCACCUGGCCAGGCCGCCUCCCGGGCAGGCACCCUCGUGAAGCUGGGCCAGCUCGUACCCUGAGCUGAGCCUCAGUUUCCCCUGAGAUCCACAGGGCUCUGGCCUCCCCUGUCACAGAGAAGCCACCCUGCUGUACUUGAGGUGGCCAUGGGCACCAGGGCUUUAGGGCCCGAUAGGCCUGGGUUCUAGUUCUGGGUGGUUUGGGGUGCGUCUGUUCACCUCCAUGAGCCUUAGUUUUCCCGUCUGUAAAAGGAGGCUUGGAAUCCACGACACUCAGGGUAGAAGGAGAAAAGUGAUAAUAUAAGGCAGCAUUCAUUUGGCCAUUCAUUUAUUCAGAAGUCCAUACUGGUGUCAACUAUGUACGUGACUGGUUAUAGAAUUUUAGUUGCCGUGUACGAAAUUAAAUGCAGUGCCCCUCAUUCAAAAUUAAGAAUUUCAGGAUGGUGCCAGCAUGGGAACUUCUGACAUGGGGCCCUGUGUGAGGGCCUGGGUCACACGGCCAUGAAGCCCACCCUGACUGUGUGCCAGGCUCUAUUCCAAGCGUGGGACACAGCCAAUGAGACAGAGGAAAGCCUCUGCCUUCGUAGAACUGACAAUCUGUCAGGGGACCUAGGGCUCCCUUGGGAUUGCCUGGUAGAUCUUUCUGAACCCGGGUGUCCCUGGAGGCAAGCUCCUUCUGGGCCUGCUCACCAGGCCAUGCAGGGUGAACUGGGGGCACCCAGGCUUCCCUGUGAGGCGCCAGUGUCAGUGACCCCCACAUCAGUCUGGGCACCCACAGUAGUAACGGCUGACAUUUACUGAGUGCAGACUCGGUGCUGGGGCUGAUCAGGGUGUGUACCCAGUGAAUUCAGAGCAUCUUUGUAAUAGCCCUAUGAGGAUGCAAGGCAGUAUACCUGUCCCCUGUACAGAUGGAGAAACAGAGGCUCAAGCCAGUGAAUGGCAGAGGCAGGAUUUAAACCCAGGUUGUCUGGUGCCAGAGCCUUAAUCUCCCCAUGCCACCCUCUGCCAAGGGGGCCAUUGGUGAGCCAGGUGAUGUGUGCCUGGGACAGAGGCCCUGCUGGGGUUUGAGGAUGAGAAGGGCACGGGUGUGCUGGUGGCCCACCAGCUGCCGCCUGGGUUGGCCCCGCUGUGUGACCCUGAAUCACAGCCCUGUGUCCUGGGAAGCUUUCUGUGCCCCAGGCACCCGUGGGGCCUGAGUCACAGUAGAGCACACCCUGCCACCCUGCCCAUCUCCCGCCUGGGCCUCGGGACAGGCAGGCCCUCAGAGCAGGUCCCUAGUCAGGAACUCACAUUUCUACGCACUUUCAGGGGCAAGAGAGAGCCAUCUAUUUGCAGCCCCAGAAACACAUUUCUGCCUUCUCUCCUUGAGCCCAAACCCACCCUUCAAAGUUACCCCAGGAUGGAUUGCUGGCUGGUGAGUUACUGAGCUCCCCAUCGCUGGAGCAUUCAAGGCAGGAUAGCCUGUCAGGGGUGCUGAGGAGUGUUCCUGCAUCAGGCAGGGCCUGGUGCUGGAGUAUGUGUCUUCCAAAGCCCUAAACUUUAUUCAUGCGCUUAUUUUUGAACAGCUACUCUGAGUAAGAGGUACAAAAUCCAAAAAGUACAAAAGAAUAUGGAGUGAAAACUUAUCGUGGACACUGUUCCAGAUCAGCACACACAGGUCUGCUCUAUUCUUCUUACCUUGCCACGUGGUAUUCCUUUUU